AAUACACUCAGAUUAAGUCAAGCUUGGUGAAAAUGUUCAAACGCAGUGUGUCUCGCCAGGAUGUGUACCGACAGCUACGGGCACGAACGUUGAAACCAAACGAAUCAUGCCUUAGCUACUUGGUUAGGAUGCAAUCAAUAGCCGCACAAUCCGACAUAGAGGAAAGAGAGCUUGUCGACAUUAUAGUGGAUGGAAUACCCGAUGACACUUUAGCCACCACAUUUCUGUACAGUGCUGAUACCAUUGACGAACUGGUCAAGCGAAUGGACCGGUAUGAACAACGGCGCUAUUUAAUGCGCCCAAAAACAACAAAAGCUGCCAAUACUACUACAGCCAACAAACUGAAGUCAACUGAAGCCAGUGUAGGUGUGGCCGUUAAAGCAACAGACGCAGAAGUACGCUGUUUUAAUUGCUCUCAAUUUGGUCACUAUCAGGACCGCUGCCCAAAACCAAAACGACCUGCAAACUCGUGCUUCAUAUGUGCAGAGGUGGGUCAUUUUCAUUAAAACUGCCCCCGAAAGAAGAAGAAUGCUGCUGCAAUAGUGGGAGAAGCUGACGAACGUGUGGACGCCUAUCAAAUGCCAUAUUAGUUGUAUAAAAAAUCCAUAAUCCCGUUCUUGUUUAAAGAAAAAAAAAGUGACUUCAUAUCGCGGUGUGGGUAACUAUAAAUUAAAUAAAGAAUCUGUGGUGCCACUGCUGAUAGGACGGGAUUUCUUAAAUAAAAUGAAAAUUAAUCUAUGCCAAGAAAAAAAUGUUUUUGUUAACUACCAUAAAAAUACUUUAUUGAAAAUGAA